rnacentral:rRNA from 1 species
AUUGAACGCUGGCGGCAGGCCUAACACAUGCAAGUCGAACGAGUGGCGGACGGGUGAGUAAUGUCUGGGAAACUGCCAGAUGGAGGGGGAUAACGACUGGAAACGGUAGCUAAUACCGCAUACCAUCGGAUGUGCCCAGAUGGGAUUAGCUAGUAGGUGGGGUAAAGGCUCACCUAGGCGACGAUCCCUAGCUGGUCUGAGCGGAUGACCAGCCACACGGCAACUGAUACACGGUCCAGACUCCUACGGGAGGAAGCAGUGGGGAAUAGUGCACAAUGGGCGCAAUCAUGAUGCAGCCAUGCCGCGGGAAUGAAGAGGGCCUUCGGGUUGUAAAGUACUUUCAGCGAGGAGGCGUUACUCGCAGAAGAAGCACCGGCUAACUCCGUGCCAGCAGCCGCGGUAAUUC